rnacentral:lncRNA from 1 species
UUAUACUUUUACUUUUGAUACUUACAUAUUUUAGGAAUUACAUUCAUUUUUAAGUAUAUUUAAAACCAAAAUACUUUUAGAUUUGUAUUCAUGUAGUAUUUUACUGGGUGACUUUCACGUUUACUUGAGCCAUUUUCUGUGAAUAUAUCUUUACUUUUAUGCAAGUAGGACGACACUGGCAGGACGACACUGGCAGGACGACACUCGUAUGACAUCUGUGGUAGGACACCCCUGGCAGGACGACACUGGCAGGACACCCCUGGCAGGACAUCUGUGGUAGGACACCCCUGGCAGGACGACACUGGUAUGACAUCUGUGGUAGGACGACACUGGCAGGACAACACUGGUAGGAUGACACUGGCAGGACGACACUGGUAUGACAUCUGUGGUAGGACACCCCUGGGUAGGACGACACUGGCAGGACACCCCUGGCAGGACACCCCUGGCAGGACGACACUGGCAGGACACCCCUGGCAGGACGACACUGGCAGGACACCCCUGGUAGGAUGACACUGGUAGGAUGACACUGGCAGGACACCCCUGGCAGGACGACACUGGUAUGACAUCUGUGGUAGGACACCCCUGGUAGGACGACACUGGCAGGACACCCCUGGCAGGACGACACUGGCAGGACGACACUGGUAGGAUGACACUGGCAGGACAAUACUGGUAGGAUGACACUGGUAGGAUGACACUGGCAGGACACCCCUGGCAGGACGACACUGGUAUGACAUCUGUGGUAGGACACCCCUGGUAGGACGACACUGGCAGGACACCCCUGGCAGGACAGCACUGGCAGGACACCCCUGGCAGGACGACACUGGUAUGAAAUCUGUGGUAGGACACCCCUGGUAGGACGACACUGGCAGGACACCCCUGGCAGGACAACACUGGUAGGAUGACACUGGCAGGACGACACUGGUAUGACAUCUGUGGUAGGACACCCCUGGUAGGACGACACUGGCAGGACAACACUGGUAUGACAUCUGUGGUAGGACACCCCUGGCAGGACAACACUGGUAUGACAUCUGUGGUAGGACGACACUGGCAGGGACACCCCUGGCAGGACAACACUGGUAUGACAUCUGUGGUAGGACACCCCUGGCAGGACAACACUGGUAUGACAUCUGUGGUAGGACACCCCUGGCAGGACAACACUGGUAUGACAUCUGUGGUAGGGACACCGUUACGGAAAAGCUUUACACAAUAAAUCUACAUGGAGUAUUCAGAACUCAUUUCACAUGGGUUCACUAGACUUGAUCUCGUAAUCUA